UACGAAGGGGGCUAGCGUUGUUCGGAAUUACUGGGCGUAAAGCGCACGUAGGCGGAUACUUAAGUCAGGGGUGAAAUCCCGGGGCUCAACCCCGGAACUGCCUUUGAUACUGGGUAUCUCGAGUCCGGAAGAGGUGAGUGGAAUUCCGAGUGUAGAGGUGAAAUUCGUAGAUAUCCGGAGGAACACCGGUGGCGAAGGCGGCUUCCUGGACCGACACUGACGCUGAGGCGCGAAAGCUAGGGGAGCAAACGGG
rnacentral:rRNA from 1 species